AGAUCAGCCGUCAUCAUGAACACAGUAGCUAUCCGGACUAGGAAGUUUAUGACCAACCAACCGACUGCUUCAGCAGAAACAAAUGGUCAUUGAUGUUCUUCACCCUGGAAAAGGCAACAGUACCUAAAACAGAAAUUCGGGAAAAACUGGCCAAAAUGUACAAGACCACACCAGAUGUCAUCUUUGUAUUUGGAUUCAGAACCCAUUUUGGUGGUGGCAAGACAACUGGCUUCGGCAUGAUUUACGAUUCCUUGGAUUACGCGAAGAAGAAUGAGCCCAAACAUAGGCUUGCAAGACACGGCCUGUAUGAGAAGAAAAAGACCUCAAGAAAACAGCGAAAAGAACGCAAGAACAGAAUGAGGAAAGUUAGGGGGACUGCAAAGGCCAAUGUUGGUGCUGGCAAAAAGAAGGAGUAAAGAUUCUGCAGUGACUGUAUCUGUGGUGCUUGUGCAGAUUUUUCAUGAAAGAAUAAACUAAGACCUUUUCCAAAAAAAAAAAAAAAAA